rnacentral:rRNA from 1 species
AUGAACGCUAGCGGAGGCCUAAUACAUGCAAGUCGAACGGUCCGGCACUCAACCGACCCUCAGUCUAACUGUAGGGGAAGUUGAGUGCCGGGUAGUGGCGGACGGGUGAGUAACGCGUGGAUAAUCUGCCCUUAAGUGUGGAAUAACGUACCGAAAGGUGCGCUAAUACCGCAUAAUGCCUGGCAACACAAGUUGUCCGGCCAAAGAAGGCCUCUGUUUACAAGCUUUCGCUUCAGGAUGAGUCCGCGUACCAUUAGCUUGUUGGUGGGGUAAUGGCCUACCAAGGCUGCGAUGGUUAGCUGGUCUGAGAGGAUGAUCAGCCACACUGGAACUGAGACACGGCCCAGACUCCUACGGGGGGCAGCAGUGGGGGAUCUUGCACAAUGGGCGAAAGCCUGAUGCAGCGACGCCGCGUGAGCGAAGAAGGCCUUCGGGUUGUAAAGCUCUGUCUGGAGGGACGAACAAAAUGACGGUACCUCCGGAGGAAGCCACGGCUAACUACGUG